rnacentral:rRNA from 1 species
UACGUGAGGUGCGAGCGUUGUUCGGAUUCAUUGGGCGUAAAGGGUGUGUAGGUGGCGCCGUAAGUCGGGUGUGAAAUUUCGGAGCUUAACUCCGAAACUGCAUUCGAUACUGCGGUGCUUGAGGACUGGAGAGGAGACUGGAAUUCAUGGUGUAGCAGUGAAAUGCGUAGAGAUCAUGAGGAAGACCAGUGGCGAAGGCGGGUCUCUGGACAGUUCCUGACACUGAGACACGAAGGCCAGGGGAGCAAACGGG